GACGAACGCUGGCGGCGUGCUUAACACAUGCAAGUCGAGCGGUAAGGCCCUUUCGGGGGCACACGAGCGGCGAACGGGUGAGUAACACGUGGGUGACCUGCCCUCAGCUCUGGGAUAAGCCUGGGAAACCGGGUCUAAUACCGGAUAUGACUCCAUGACGCAUGUUGUGGGGUGGAAAGCCUUGUGCGGCUGAGGAUGGGCCCGCGGCCUAUCAGCUUGUUGGUGGGGGAUGGCCUACCAAGGCGACGACGGGUAGCCGGCCUGAGAGGGCGACCGGCCACACUGGGACUGAGACACGGCCCAGACUCCUACGGGAGGCAGCAGUGGGGAAUCUUGCGCAAUGGGCGAAAGCCUGACGCAGCGACGCCGCGUGAGGGAUGACGGCCUGGUGU
rnacentral:rRNA from 1 species